AAUAAACAGAUGAAGCCAAUUUUAUUAAUCAUGAGGAAGGGUUUAUAAUCAACAAGCAAGAGCUUACAUCAUCCGUAAAAUCUCUAAUAGACACAUCAGAAAACAUAAUCACAAAACAUAAUAGGCACGAGAGCUUGUCAUCGUCUUUUCCACAACGGAGGUGGGACCUGCUCGUCGUCGCGUCCUCUCCAUACCGGAUCUCGAAUCUGUUGGCCGUCCUGUCGUCCUCUCCACAACGGAAGUCGGACCUGGUUGCCGUCGCGUUGUCCUGUCCAUACCGGAGCUCUCGGAUCUGCUCGUCAGCUCUCAUGUCCACAAAAUCUCAGAGAUUCGAUUCAAUUGAAAAAGUACAACACAAACAAUUAAAAAAAGAAAAAAAUAUAAAAAAGGUUAGGGGUUUCAAGGAGAAAGGUAUUGAAAUCGGGCGACGGAGAAUGAAGGAGAAAGGUGAUGAGAUAUGAAGAGAUAGAUACGAGAUUAUACAGUCACAACCGCUGUGAGCCUUCUGGAUUCAUGGUGUUUUACAGAGAAAUUG
rnacentral:lncRNA from 1 species